GGCGUGUGGGGAGGUUCAGGCAUGGCGGGCUGCAGGUCCCGAGCCCUGCCCUGCGGGAAGGCAGCCAAGGCCCGGCGAGAAAUUGAGCACAGCAGCUGCUGGCCCAGGCGUUAAACCCCUCACUGCCCGGGGCCGGCAGGGGCUCCCUGCCGCUCUGAGUGCGGGGCCCGCCAAGCCCACGCCCACCCGGAACUCCAGCUGCCCCGCAAGCGCCGCGCGCAGCCCGGGUUCCCGCCCGCAGCCCGGGUUCCCGCCCGCGCCUUUCCCUCCACACCUCCUCGCAAGCUGAGGGAGCCGGCUCCGGCUUUGGCCAGCCCAGAAAGGGGUUCCCAGAGUGCAGCGGCGGGCUGAAGGGCUCCUCAAGUGCCGCCAAAGUGGGAGCCCAGGCAGAGGAGGCGCCGAGAGCGAGCGAGGGCUGUGAGGACUGAGAGCACGCUGUCAUCUUUCAGAAGGAGGUCUUAUCUGAUGACUUUUAUUUUCUCCAUGAAGCCGGGUAUAACCAGGAGUUGCGAAGUGGUCGUAGUUGUUCAUGUCUCAAUCUGGAUCAUCUUUGCUUUUUGCUUCUGCUUUGUGCUAUCCCUCUUCCCGUACCUCAGUUCUAUCUGGAACCAUGAUCUGUGACUGCCAUGGAAAAGUGUUGGGCAGGAGGAGGCCAGCUGGGUCUUUGAAGUUGACAAUGGAGCCAGGAAUGAAAGCUGCACUUAGGAUGAGAAUUGCUUUCCCUGGAGCCAAGUCAGCAAAUGCAGUCUGGUUGUCAGAGCUGAGAGGCUUCACCAAGUCAAGUAGGGGAGGACAUCUUCACUCUGCAACUUGCCCUACUGAAUGCAGAAAGUACUGUCUACUUAGAUAAAGCCUACACUAAAAGGGAAUUGAAUCUCUGCAAAUAAGUAUGUGGAUCUAAUUUCUACCUUCCAGAUUAAAAGUAUAAUUAAAAAUGAAAACCUUUGUAGGACUAAAUUGAUUUUGCAGACAAAUCUCACUUCUUAGCUUGAGCUGACUUAUUCCCAAUCUUAAACCCUAAUUAAUAACAUACAAGAAU
rnacentral:lncRNA from 1 species